GACGAACGCUGGCGGCGUGCUUAACACAUGCAAGUCGAACGGAAAGGCCCCCACCUUGGUGGGGGUGCUCGAGUGGCGAACGGGUGAGUAACACGUGGGUGAUCUGCCCUGUACUUCGGGAUAAGCUUGGGAAACUGGGUCUAAUACCGGAUAGGACCAUGGUUUAGUGUCUCAUGGUGGAAAAAUUAUUGUUUUGGUGCAGGAUGAGCUCGCGGCCUAUCAGCUUGUUGGUGGGGUAAUGGCCUACCAAGGCGUCGACGGGUAGCCGGCCUGAGAGGGUGGACGGCCACAUUGGGACUGAGAUACGGCCCAGACGCCUACGGGAGGCAGCAGUGGGGAAUAUUGCACAAUGGGCGCAAGCCUGAUGCAGCGACGCCGCGUGGGGGAUGACGGCCUUCGGGUUGUAAACUCCUUUCGUUAGGGACGAAGCCACACCUUUUUUGGGUGUGGUGACGGUACCUUUGUGAAGAAGCACCGGCUAACUACGUG
rnacentral:rRNA from 1 species